rnacentral:rRNA from 1 species
UACAGAGGUCCCAAGCGUUGUUCGGAUUCACUGGGCGUAAAGGGUGCGUAGGUGGCAUGGUAAGUUUGAUGUGAAAGCUCAGGGCUUAACCCUGAAAUGGCAUUGAAUACUACCGUGCUGGAGGUUUGGAGGGGGGACUGGAAUUCUUGGUGUAGCAGUGAAAUGCGUAGAUAUCAAGAGGAACACCAGUGGCGAAGGCGAGUCCCUGGACAACACCUGACACUGAGGCACGAAGGCCAGGGGAGCAAACGGG